CACGUAGGGGGCGAGCGUUGUCCGGAUUUAUUGGGCGUAAAGAGCUCGUAGGCGGCUCGGUAAGUCGGGUGUGAAACCUCCAGGCUCAACCUGGAGACGCCACCUGAUACUGCUGUGGCUAGAGUCCGGUAGGGGAGUGUGGAACUCCUGGUGUAGCGGUGAAAUGCGCAGAUAUGUGGAAGAAUACCGGUGGUGAAGACGGUUUUCUGUGCUAAGCCAGACGCUGAGGCGCGAAAGCUAGGGGAGCAAACAGG
rnacentral:rRNA from 1 species